rnacentral:rRNA from 1 species
GAGUUUGGACAUGGCUCAGAUUGAACGCUGGCGGCAGGCCUAACACAUGCAAGUCGAGCGGAUGAGUGGAGCUUGCUCCAUGAUUCAGCGGCGGACGGGUGAGUAAUGCCUAGGAAUCUGCCUGGUAGUGGGGGACAACGUUUCGAAAGGAACGCUAAUACCGCAUACGUCCUACGGGAGAAAGCAGGGGACCUUCGGGCCUUGCGCUAUCAGAUGAGCCUAGGUCGGAUUAGCUAGUUGGUGAGGUAAAGGCUCACCAAGGCGACGAUCCGUAACUGGUCUGAGAGGAUGAUCAGUCACACUGGAACUGAGACACGGUCCAGACUCCUACGGGAGGCAGCAGUGGGGAAUAUUGGACAAUGGGCGAAAGCCUGAUCCAGCCAUGCCGCGUGUGUGAAGAAGGUCUUCGGAUUGUAAAGCACUUUAAGUUGGGAGGAAGGGCAGUAAGUUAAUACCUUGCU